GUAAUGAAGGUGAAAGUGAAAAUAGUUUUCGACUCUCAGACAGAGUCACUGCGCCAUUACACUUCCUGCUGUAACGGACUGAUACAGGAGGAAUAUAUGUGUAUAUGUAGACAGGGGACAUUUUAAACACGGUGUUUAAACCCUAAUGAGUUAAAUACCGAAUAUGUGGCGCUCUGAAAUGUGGAAACACUUCAGUUAAAGUAUCAGAUGUGUUUAUAUGAGGAACAGGAAAGGAUUUUAUUAGUCUGAAUCUACAGAAAGAUAAAGAUGGCGACUGCAAGCAAUGAGUUUAAACUCAUUGGUCCCAGAAAUAGAGUGUGGUUUAAUCGCUCUGCUGUCACUCUCUCAUGUCGUCUGUCUCCUGAAAUCAGUGCUGUUGACUUGGAGAUCCGGUGGUUUAAGGAGACAGACUGUGUUUGUGUUUAUAAGAACAGUAAGGUGACAGAGGGGAGAGGUUAUGAGGGCAGAGUGAGUCUGUUCACUCAGGAGCUGGAGAGAGGAAACGUCUCCUUACAGCUGAGAAACUGUACAGAGUCAGAUAGAGGAUAUUACCUCUGUCAGGUCACUGAUGGAGACAGAACAGAAGAGAUUACAGUAGAGAUGAGUAAGUGUUCCUGAUCUCCACACUGUAUAAACUCCACAUCAUCAUCUGUGCUUCUCAUCUCAGUACAUAAACACACUCAGUAUUCAGUGUGAGAUUCAGUAUACAGGCUGCUAAUGUGGAGUGAAGAUCAUUUGAGUUGAAUUAACAGUAACUCUAUUUUUCACUCUUCUACACACCUGCACAAGGGCUUAAAAGCAGCAACUUGUACAAAUAUGAAGUAACGAGGGAUUUAUUUAUCUAACUUUAUUUAUCUAUUAAUCAGAGAUUUACUGAAUAUCAGUUUAAACUAAAACAAAGACACUUUUUUACAUCAGGGAGGAAAUUUAAUUACACACUAAAUGUGACAUUUAAAUUAUUACAAUUUCUGUAUAUCCAGUAGAUCAGACUACAUCACUGUCAAAUACAGCACUGAGAACCAAACUACACACAUUUAGGUUAAAGGUAGAGGAAUAAAACAGUCUGGCUGAUGAUUAAGACUUUUGGUGUAAGUAUAUCUGUCUAGUGACUAAUGUGAGAUGUAUAACAGUCCAGAGAACACAGAUUAGCUCGUCAUGUAGUCAGCUUAGCUCCUGCUAACAUGCUGUGUUUGUAUUUCUCUACUUCUGUAAGUCUGUAAAUUCAGAGUGGAGACUAAUAUCAGGAGUUACAGGUUGUAGUGUUGGACUUUUCCAACAUGAUUUGUUUUAAAACUAACACAGUAAGGUACAGACCUGGAGAACACAAACUGUAUUGUCCUUGUAACUGUGUUAAUAACAUGAAAUGAGAAACUGAACGACUCCCACUACAAUGUAGACUCUCAUCUUUCAUUAGUCGUGUUUACACACAAAGAUUUUUACCAGAAUGAAUGAAUUCAGCCAGACUGCAGAUUCCUAAUGAACUGUUUCUGUGUGUCUUAAAAUGGGCUCUUUUCAUUUAUAUACAUGUUACAUGUGAUCUGAUCCAAAUCUAUCUUGGUGCUCAGAGCUCUUGGUUAGUGCUUCUGAAUGAUUAAAUCAUUUAUCACUAUAUUUUAAAAUAGAAAGUAUUAAUCAGGGAAGAAUAUUUACAUUUACAUUUAUGCCAUUUAGCAGACACUCUUAUCCAGAGUGACUUACAUUUUAUUUCAAUUUAUACAACUGUGCAAUUGAGUGUUAAGGGCCUUGCUCAGGGGCCCAGCAGUGGUAGCUUGAUGGACGUGGGAUUCAAUCUCAUGACCCUCAGAUCAGUAAUCCAACACCUUAAGCACUACGCUACCACAUCCCACCAUCACGCAAAUACACAAAUAUCACACAAAUAUCAAACAAACACACUCACUAUUAUUUUAAACAGAUUAAAAUCUCUAACAUGAGCUGCGUUUUCUUUACACCAUUUUAUUACAUUAUUCAAACUCACAUGUACAGAACACACAAUCUGAAUCUCAUAAAGAAAAUAAUGUGAAGCCUAAAUGCCACUGACGCCCUCUAGUGGCUGUCUGCAGUACAAUUAUUAACUCCUCCAGUUCCCAUGUUAGUGAAUGGAACAUGAUCCAAACUUUCAUUUAAUUUACAGCUCCACAGUCAUUUUUAUGAUCUCAGUUCAUCUUAAUAUCUUCUCAAUAUUUUCCCUACAAUAAAUGUGUUUUAUAAGAUUUAUAUGGUGAUAAUUAACAGGACAGUGUUGAUGAGGUUGACUAAGGCAGCUAACACUAACUCAGAUUCAUACUAAUUUAUUGUGUGUAUGAUUUUAGAUAACACUAGCAGUAGCUUGUUAAGGUUAACCAGUCACUAGUUUUUAAAUGAACUGCACUGACAGAAUGAGUGGAGAAUAAGAGCGAACUUCUUCAUUCAGAUGAGUAACGUACUGCAGCUCAAAUCAGUAAUUCAUGAGUCAAAGCUCUAAAACUUUUUCCUAACAAUGAUAAGAUUAAUAUUCCUGUGAACAUUAUAACAGUACAGUUUAUCAUGUUACAUUUUUAUUACUAACACUGUAUUAACUUUGAGGUAACUGAUGCAGUGUUUUUAGCUUCCCUGUGAUUGGGUCUGGGUUUUAAUACAUGACGACACCUCAGUUUUCUGACAUAAUGAUUCACUAUCUGUUGUUCUAUUUUAUUAAAAUAGUUAAAAUUGUAGCUGAACAUCUUUGAAA